rnacentral:rRNA from 1 species
CGCGCAGGCGGUUAAUUAAGUUGGGUGUUUAAGCCCGGGGCUCAACCCCGGUUCGCAUCCAAAACUGGUUGACUUGAGUGUAGGAGAGGAAAGUGGAAUUCCACGUGUAGCGGUGAAAUGCGUAGAGAUGUGGAGGAACACCAGUGGCGAAGGCGACUUUCUGGCCUGUAACUGACGCUGAGGCGCGAAAGCGUGGGGAGCAAACA